rnacentral:tRNA from 1 species
GCCUGAGUGGCUCAGUCAGUUAAGUGUCUGACUUCAGCUCAGGUCAUGAUCUCACAGUUCGUGGGUUCAAGCCCCACAUCGGGCU